CAUCAUAUACACAUCAUAUUCAUAGCAUAUAUCAUAGCAUACAUACUUUCAUUCUAGACAGGACUCUACAUCCUAUCCUAGUGGACAUGAUUUCCUAUUGUGCUUGACUUUCUAUAACAUCUAUGAGCCCGACACUCUAGGUCCGACCAUAUGAACCUAGGGCUCUGAUACCACUCUGUAACGACCCGGAAACCGGACCGCUACC
rnacentral:lncRNA from 1 species